GGCUUCCAGAGAGGCCUCCGAGUAGGUCUCCCUGAAGCCUGAACUCGAGUAGGCCCCAAGCAAGCAAGGAAGGAAGGAAGGAAGGAGGCUGGCAGAGCUCCCUGCAGCAGCAGCAGCAGCAGCAGACCCUCUGCCCAGAUCAUCCAGUACAGCCUUUGCCAGAGGAGAAGCCCUACCCAGGCCUGCAGAUCGCCACACUUCUUCCAGCAGUGUUGCUUGUGUGGGCGCAUGAGUGGCACUUCCAAGAAAACAAGGAAGAUCAUCUGUGGGGAAGUUGCGUAAUAACUUCCACAUCCCGCUGCCAGAUCUGUGUGGGUAUAUAAUGUCUUGAACCUAAAAAGGCUGCCCUGAACAUUCCAAAAUUCAGGAAAAGGCUUCCUCUCCAAGGUUCAUAUGUGGACGCUUCCUAUGCAAAUGCACUCGAAAAGAUCUCCAGAGAGAGAGAGAGAGAGAGAGAACACACAAACAGAUAAGGGAUGUUUGGUUGAUUUGAGAAAUAAAGAUGAGAAUGGCAACUCAACAUAAGAAUCUCCAGGAAAAAAUUACAACUUUUACUUCACUAUGUAUGUAGACAAACCCACUGACAUUAUUGCACUUGGUGGGAGAGUCACUAGACUUUCUAAAUGAAAAGUUCCAAUUCUUUAUUUAGGUUUACAGGAGGGGAAUCUUGUCCUACAUGAUGGGUGAACAAUACGCACACACAAAAGAUGCUCUCCUAUACAAGUGAAGGGUUCUGGGAAAAACCUAAGUUAGCAUAACCAGCGCCAUCUUUGCUUCUGUAAAAACCUGCUUCUGUAAAACCUGCUUCUGCUAAUGUUAGGAAAUAUAAGGUAACAGCCUACAAAAGGUCAGAGCAGGGUUCUUUCCAUGCAUGAAGGGGAUUUUUUUGGUUUUUCUGUAUAUGCCAAACCACAGGCAGACAAUGAGCUGCUGAUAAACUGCUGGUAAAUGCAAAUCUAGAAACUGCAAGAGAAGGAACAAGGAAGUAGGCGAGGCCCUUACAAAAGGGACUUUCCGUCUAAUGAAAGAUGUAAUGUAUAGAAAAUUAGCUAGCUUGUUUACAGUAACCAAUAAAGACUGCUUUUAGGGCAGGGGUUUGGGGGAUUUUCAUGGAAACAGGGAAGUGGGGUGAGGUUGUUUACUUGUGACUAUAUAAGCUGUCUGUAAGUCUUUCUGGGGGCUGCUUCUCUUGCCUGCGAGCUUGAGAGGAGCCCGGUCUGCUUUGCUUAGCUAAAUAAAGUGACUGAGAAAAGAA